rnacentral:rRNA from 1 species
UGGGGAAUAUUGCACAAUGGGCGCAAGCCUGAUGCAGCCAUGCCGCGUGUAUGAAGAAGGCCUUCGGGUUGUAAAGUACUUUCAGCGAGGAGGAAGGCGUUGUGGUUAAUAACCGCAACGAUUGACGUUACUCGCAGCAGAAGCACCGGCUAACUCCGUGCCAGCAGCCGCGGUAAUACGGAGGGUGCAAGCGUUAAUCGGACUUACUGGGCGUAAAGCGCACGCAGGCGGUCUGUCAAGUCGGAUGUGAAAUCCCCGGGCUCAACCUGGGAACUGUAUCCGAAACUGGCAGGCUAGAGUCUUGUAGAGGGGGGUAGAAUUCCAGGUGUAGCGGUGAAAUGCGUAGAGAUCUGGAGGAAUACCGGUGGCGAAGGCGGCCCCCUGGACAAAGACUGACGCUCAGGUGCGAAAGCGUGGGGAGCAAACA